rnacentral:rRNA from 1 species
GGGGGGGGGGGGGGGGGGGGCGGGUGCGUGGGGGGGGGGGGGGGGGGGGGGGGGGGGGCUUGGCGGAUGGUAGCGGCGGGCGGGUGAGUAACACGUGGAUAACCUACCUAGAAGAGUGGGAUAACUUCGGGAGACCGGCGCUAAUGCCGGAUGAGAUUUCGAAGCGCAUGGUUCAACAGUGAAAGACGGUCGUGCUGUCGCUUAUAGAUGGAUCCGCGCUGCAUUAUCUAGUUGUUAAGGUAACGGCUUACCAAGGCAACGAUGCAUAGCCGGCCUGGGAGGGUGAUCGGCAACACUGGAACUGAGACACGGUCCAGACUCCUACGGGAGGCAGCAGUAGGGAAUCUUCCGCAAUGGGCGAAAGCCUGACGGAGCAACGCCGCGUGAGUGAUAAAGGUCUUCGGAUCGUAAAACUCUGUUAUUAGGGAAGAACAUAUGUGUAAGUAACUGUGCACAUCUUGACGGUACCUAAUCAGAAAGCCACGGCUAACUACGUG